rnacentral:rRNA from 1 species
AUUCAACGCUGGCGGCAGGCCUAACACAUGCAAGUCGAGCGGAUGAAGGGAGCUUGCUCCUGGAUUCAGCGGCGGACGGGUGAGUAAUGCCUAGGAAUCUGCCUGGUAGUGGGGGAUAACGUCCGGAAACGGGCGCUAAUACCGCAUACGUCCUGAGGGAGAAAGUGGGGGAUCUUCGGACCUCACGCUAUCAGAUGAGCCUAGGUCGGAUUAGCUAGUUGGUGGGGUAAAGGCCUACCAAGGCGACGAUCCGUAACUGGUCCGAGAGGAUGAUCAGUCACACUGGAACUGAGACACGGUCCAGACUCCUACGGGAGGCAGCAGUGGGGAAUAUUGGACAAUGGGCGAAAGCCUGAUCCAGCCAUGCCGCGUGUGUGAAGAAGGUCUUCGGAUUGUAAAGCACUUUAAGUUGGGAGGAAGGGCAGUAAGUUAAUACCUUGCUGUUUUGACGUUACCAACAGAAUAAGCACCGGCUAACUUCGUG